GUCACGAUAGCUCAAGUGGUAGAGCAGUGGCUUAUUGAGCCAAAGGUCGUGGGUUCGAUUCCCGCUCGUGGCA